CAAUAGCGUAUAUUAAAGUUGUUGCAGUUAAAAAGCUCGUAGUUGGAUUUCUGGUGGGAGCGAUCGGUCUGGCGCUUAGCGCGAGUACUUGCAUCGUCUCCGGCCAUCCUUGGGGAGAGUCUGUCUGGCAUUAAGUUGUCGGGCAGAGGAUCCUCAUCGUUUACUGUGAAAAAAUUAGAGUGUUCAAAGCAGGCUUAUGCCGUUGAAUAUAUUAGCAUGGAAUAAUAAGAUAGGACUUUGGUACUAUUUUGUUGGUUUGCGCACCGAAGUAAUGAUUAAUAGGGACAGUUGGGGGUAUUCGUAUUCCGUUGUCAGAGGUGAAAUUCUUGGAUUUACGGAAGACGAACUACUGCGAAAGCAUUUACCAAGGAUGUUUUCAUUAA
rnacentral:rRNA from 1 species